CCUGGUGCGUUUGGCGCGGCGGAACCACACCGACUCCAUCCCGAACUCGGAGGUGAAACGCUGCAGCGGCGAAGAUACUUGAGGGGUAGCCCUCUGGAAAAAUAGCUCCGUGCCAGGU
rnacentral:rRNA from 1 species